rnacentral:rRNA from 1 species
UACGUAGGGACCAAGCGUUGUUCGGAUUUACUGGGCGUAAAGGGCGCGUAGGCGGCUUAACAAGUCACUUGUGAAAUCUCCGGGCUUAACUCGGAACGGCCAAGUGAAACUGUCAAGCUAGAGUGCAGAAGGGGCAAUCGGAAUUCUUGGUGUAGCGGUGAAAUGCGCAGAUAUCAGGAGGAACACCAAUUGCGAAGGCAGCUCGCUGGGACGUGACUGACGCUGAGACGCGAAAGCGUGGGGAGCAAACAGG